AACGAACGCUGGCGGCAUGCCUAAUACAUGCAAGUCGAACGAUCACUUCGGUGGUAGUGGCGCACGGGUGCGUAACGCGUGGGAAUCUGCCCCUGGGUUCGGAAUAACGUCGGGAAACUGACGCUAAUACCGGAUGACGACGUAAGUCCAAAGAUUUAUCGCCCAGGGAUGAGCCCGCGUAGGAUUAGCUAGUUGGUGGGGUAAAGGCCUACCAAGGCGACGAUCCUUAGCUGGUCUGAGAGGAUGAUCAGCCACACUGGGACUGAGACACGGCCCAGACUCCUACGGGAGGCAGCAGUAGGGAAUAUUGGACAAUGGGGGCAACCCUGAUCCAGCAAUGCCGCGUGAGUGAUGAAGGCCUUAGGGUUGUAAAGCUCUUUUACCCGGGAUGAUAAUGACAGUACCGGGAGAAUAAGCCCCGGCUAACUCCGUGCCAGCAGCCGCCGUAA
rnacentral:rRNA from 1 species